UUUUAUUACUCGUAUUGUGGUUAGCCGUCGGCGUGGAAUUGAAACGAUCCUCUUGUAAUGAUAUCAUCAGCCUGGUCUACCCAACUAAGAUGUUAAGGUCCUCCAGAAGUGGCAUUACAGCACCAGAAGGAACUAUAGAAAUGG